CCAAACGCAUCACAAGGCAAAAUAAGGCGAAUAGGUCCCUCUCUGUUUAGAUAGCAUUCCAGCUAACUUUGCAGUAACCAUGCCAGGGAAAUGUAAAUUCCAGGAUUCCUGGCUGACGAAGGACGCUUUCAAGGACUGGCUGGUCAAAGAUGCCGAUGACAUCCACUUCGCUCGGUGCAGGGCUUGCUGUAAAUCAAUCAAACUUCAGACCAUGGGCGAGGCUGCGCUCACCAGCCACGCAGGCGGAGCUGGACACAAAGCGGCUGUCCGCAAGCUGCUAGAAGGUAGUUUAGGUGGUGAUAUAAGGCAGCUGAAUGGCAAAAUCAAUCAGAUGGAGAAGAGAAAAGAUCCAAUGGCCCUCAGCAUUCAGGGUGAGGCUUUGGACAGAGUCGCAGGAAACGAUUGGUCAGAUCUCCACCAGAGUCCCACUUCAAACUCCAGCUCCCACAAUGCAGAGCUGCAGGAAGGAGCAUUUCCUGUUGCCUACUUCACAGCCCCAGGAACCUCAAGGAGCAUCAACCAUCAUCUUCACCCAUCUGAGAUCAAGGAGGAGGAUGUCAACCGCCGUUUUUCUCAUCAUGACACUGUGGACCUUACAAGAUUUGAACUUGAGCAGCGGACAGAGGCGCUGGAGCAGCUGGAACAGAUGAAGAUCCUGGAGUGGGAAAACAGGAUGAAGGUGCUUGCAUGGGAGCAGGAGCUGGUGAGGGAGAAAAGGAAAGCAGCUCGGCAGAAGCAGAAGGCCUUCAGGAUGAAAAAGGCCUACUACAAGGCCAAACUCAAGAGGUUAGGAGAAGACGUGCCGCCAUCCUCCUCUAGCAGUGGUGAAGAAGAAGAAAAGAUAUCUGAGCUUCAUGGUUGAUUUGAUUCCAUUUUUCUGGGAAUGUUUAAUUUCUGUGUUGUUUGUCUUUAACCUUGGGACAUUUUUAUAGAUUUAUACUAUUUGAAGGUAUAGAAGGCCCUGUAGUAAGAUAUUUGGAUUAUUUGAAAUAACCUGAGAGCUUUAAGACUGAAUUUUUUUUUUCCCAUCAAAGACUAACGGCCAGUUAGCUCCUAACUAGAAACAUCCAGGUAAUCACGCUUGGAUAUGCAUAGUUUGGAAAACCAAUAACUGACCAAUCUUCCUUCCUUACUCCUUUGCCCUUUGUGCUUUUGCUUUCUUACACCUCAAUUCCUCAGUUGGGUUAUUCCUUUCCUUCUCCCCUUUUGACUGACACCUUCUUUUUGUCCUUUCUUCCCUCCAUCCUUGAUCCCUUCAUUCCCUUCAGGUUAAAAUUUAUUGUCCAGAUAUAUUUAUCAGCUGUUCACAGAGAAAUAUCUGCCAUAAAAUCUCAUUGAAUGUUUAAUAUGUUGUAUUUUAAAGAAGAUAAAAGACUGAGUCUGGAAAAAAACCAUUUUUUUUACAGGAGUAGCAUGUAUGGACCCUGAUAAUCUAUUUAUAACUGAUGCUUGGAUUUAAAAUGUACAGGUUUGUUUAUACAGCAGCUGGUUCUGUGGCCUCCUCAGACCCACCCUGCUGAAAUGAACAAAUCUCAGUUGUCCAAUCACUAUCACAAUAUUCCAAACACUGCAAAAAAAAAAAAAAGGAGUAAAUUUUUCUUAAAAUAAGUGUAUUUUUUCUUGAAUUGAACAGGUAAAUGAGACACUUUGCCAAUGGAUAUGAGAAUAUAUAUAUGAGAAGAAAAUAACAACUGCAGUCUCUUAUUUCCAGUGCAUCAUAUCCUUUCAUCUUAUUCUCUUAUUCUAAGGGUAAUAAUACUCAUUCCUUUGGCACAUUGUCUCAUUUACCUACUUAAAAUAAAAACAAAUACACUUAUUUUAAGAAAUUUUUGCAAUGUAGUGAAUAAGGUACUGAUAUAAAAAAAGCAAAAACAUUAAACCAACACACACACGGACACACAUAUAUAUGUGUGUGUAUUUUUAUUCUAUCAAGAUUGACCGUUACAACUACAAUGCUUUACCUACAUUAUUUUUUUACGUGAUGAAAUUGAUGUUAAUACAUUUUAUUAUUCUAAGGUAAAAUGUUACUAACAGUUUAUUUAACUGAUAUAUUCAGUUUACUAAGAAUUAGUUUCUCUAAAUGCACAAUUUUCCAACGUUCUCAUGUGGAGCAUGCUAAUCUGUUAAGUUAGAUUUUUGCUGUUAAAAUCAACAUAUGUUGGUAUAAGAUGUAAUUUUCAUAAACAAAGGAAUGCAUAAUAAAUUUCCCUGCAGAGACUUGAUCACUUUC